rnacentral:rRNA from 1 species
UACGUAGGGACCAAGCGUUGUUCGGAUUUACUGGGCGUAAAGGGCGCGUAGGCGGCUUGACAAGUCACUUGUGAAAUCUCCGGGCUUAACUCGGAACGGCCAAGUGAAACUGUUGAGCUAGAGUGUAGAAGGGGCAAUCGGAAUUCUUGGUGUAGCGGUGAAAUGCGUAGAUAUCAAGAGGAACACCUGAGGUGAAGACGGGUUGCUGGUCUAACACUGACGCUGAGGCGCGAAAGCCAGGGAGCAAACGGG